rnacentral:pre_miRNA from 1 species
CAGAUCAGAAGGUGAUUGUGGCUUUGGGUGGAUAUCAAUCAGCCACAGCACUGCCUGGUCAGA